GUGACCUUUCUAAUCUUGCAGCAUGUCAAAAAUAGGAAUACAAGUUUAGCCAUUGAUGCUGUUAAGGCCUUUUAAAUUAAGGUACUGAAUGAAAGUGUGGAAUAGGGCUGCAUUUGCUUUUGAACCAUAAAUCCAAGGCCCUGCGAAGAAAUAAUAGGGUAAAUAGUUUUUGAGUGAUCUUCUUCCUGCACUGGCCUGGACUCCUGUAAGAAUUAUGGCACUGGGGCAGGCUCACUCCCAACUGCCUAGUCUCAGUGUUGGGGUAGGACACAGCAAGCAAUUAUUGUGAAGAUGAGGAG
rnacentral:misc_RNA from 1 species